GGAAGCCAGUGACGGAUUCACCAGCUUUUCUGAAAAUCAGGCUGAUAGAACACCCUGUGCACCUCUGUCAUAAGAAAUGAAACAGACUGCUGUUUUCACAAGAUACAACUAAUUCCUGAAGGUAGAGAAGACAGUGUGAGGAUCGCAAAGAGCACGGAUGCAGUUCUUCGAGAAAACGAGUGUGCAAGAAGUAUGUUGUAAUUGAAGUGGCAUAUUGCCUGCCACCCAAGAGGUUGCUCUGUAAGUGAAAUGUGUCUACAUUUCUCUGGAAAACAAUUCCCAAGGGUACAACUGCUGCGUCAAAUGGUAAGUGAAUGUCUACUUUAAAAGUGUUAUAUUGUUUUUUUAGAGUGGGUAUAUCAUUUUACUUUACCAUCAGCAAUGUAUUAGAGAUCCUGUUUCUCAGUAUCAGGCAACAGAUAAUGUAUGUGCCUUGUAUAAGUUUCUAGAACAUGAAAGUAUAGGAAUCUUCUUUUAUUUUAUUAUGUUAGCAUACGCUUUACAUCCAAACCUAGCUGUGGGCUGAAAAAGUGAUUCUCUGGAAUUUAAGAAACUUAAAACCCCUGAUUUAUAACAACUGCCUAUUUGCCAGAUGUAGCUAUUCCCACCAUGGUUUUCAAACUACCCACAUGACUUAAUUGAAAGUGAAUCAAGGAAAAAAAUACUCACAACUCAUUCUCACACAGUUCUCACUGGCACAAACCAGUUCCAGCACACUGCUGCACAUACACAAACAUAUGCACACAUGCAUUUACACAUAUAUACACACAUGCAUAUUCACACACACAUACAAACACAGAUGCAUAGAGACACCAGAUUUAUCUCCUUCAUGCAUAUAGAUGGACAAUAAGAUGACAAGAUGAAUUUAAUAACAUGACAUAAUCAAAUGUAGAGACAGAUAUAAAAUAAGUAGAGUAUGAAACUAUGAAACAAUUUUGGAAAUAAAAGUGUAUAUUAAUGUGCAAAUAUAUGUAUAGAAUAUGAGACUGAAAACACCAAAAUGUUCAUAGUGUUUAU